rnacentral:rRNA from 1 species
CCCUUAGAUGUUCUGGGCCGCACGCGCGCUACACUGAUUCAUGCAACAAGUUUUGUCCUUGGCUGAUAGGCCUGGGUAAUCUUUGAACGUGAAUCGUGAUGGGGAUAGAUGAUUGCAAUUAUUCAUCUUCAACGAGGAAUUCCUAGUAAACGCAAGUCAUCAGCUUGCAUUGAUUACGUCCCAGCCCUUUGUACACACCGCCCGUCGCACCUACCGAUUGAAUGGUCCGGUGAAAUCUUCGGAUCUGAGAGAUGUCUGAUUAAUUUCGGACGCCUUUUGGAAAAGUUGCUUAAACCUUACCAUUUAGAGGAAGGUGAAGUCGUAACA